UGAAGGCGAUCGUGGUGGGUGCUGAUCGCCCCCGAGACGUCCAGUCCCAGUCUGCCAGAGCCAGGCUGGCGCCCUUCUCCAACUGUGGCAGUGGAGGAUGGAGGAGCCCAUUCCCCGGAGGUGCUUACCUGUGUGCUUAGAGAGACACAUCUGCUCCUAGCAGCAUCUCUAAUCUACUUCAAAGAAGAUGAUGGGCAUCAAAGAAAUAUGGCAAGAUAGCCACUGGAGAAAAAAAUUGUCCUUCAACUGCUGAUGGAACGCUGUCUGUCCAAACUGUGAACAAGCAGGACACUGGAAAAUUGACUGUCCCACUUUGCAGAGACUAAGUGAUCAGUCUUUCAAAAUUCCUGCUUCACAGAAAAGUCUGUCAGAUGCUCUGGGCUGAUAGACUGAAGACUGGAUGUCUCAAUGACAGAGAACCUCUGGUGACUGUCCAGGUAGUCACCUGUCUGUCAUCCCUAUAGUUCUAGAAGCUGUUUGCUCUAUGCUUCCUAUAUACUUAAGUAAUACUGUUUCCUUCUAAGGUCUCUGAUAGAGUUGAAGACUAGAUAGUCAUAGUCAUACUACAAUUAAGUUUAGUUGUUUAGAAACUAAGACAGUGUUUUAGGUCUAAAAAGAUGCCUUAAGGUCUAGAUAGAUGUUUUUAGGUUGAUAGGUACAAGAUAUGAUAAGAAAGUGAUUUAGGUACAGAACUCAGGACUCACCAGGAUAGAAUAGAUAGUAGAACACUUUCUCCAAGAUUGCCAAAUACAAAUUGACUGGACAUUGUAAAUUUGAUUCUUACCUGGUAAUUCUCAUAGUUAUUCUUAUUGUAUAUGGUUUAUUAAAGUUAGAGAAAAAGCCAUUUUUAAAUAAAAGGGGGGAUAUGUAAUAGAAGUUUUGUUUUCUUUAAAAACUCAGUUAUGUUAUGUAAAUAUGUUUUUGCUUUAAUCCCAAGUGUGGGAUUUUAGUUUGUCCAUAGCUAAUAAUUAUCUCCUACAGGGCAUCAUCUUUGCCCAAAAUUACCUGUGCUGGGGACCUAGGGUCUCUUCUGGGGUACAGAGUGUUGGAGAAGCCCCGUUUGAAGAUACAGUUGCAGACUUCACUGAGCGUCCCUUGGUCUGUGACUCCAUGUAUGUUACUCUGAGUGUGCUCUCUCUGGCUGGGUGGCGGCCUUGCCCUACUACUGAAGUGAAGGCUCAAUGUCUCCUAAAGAAAAUCACGCCCAGACUCAGGAUCCCAAUCACUGAGGGAUCUGAUAACAGGCUGUUUGUGGUUGGAAUGGCACGGUUGGUGACAGAGGGACUGAAGGCCACCUGGAAGCUACACGCCACAAGCUGUGCCCAGAGCUCUGUGCAGGCAGAAUAAAUUAAACUGCCCUUGAACAAAAACUGUGUGCGGAAGCUGGGUGGUGAUGGUUUUUAAUCCCAGAACUUGGGAGGCAGAGGCAGGUGGAUCUCUGUGAGUUCAAGGGUGGCCUGGUCUACAGAGGGAGUUCCGGAACAGCCAGGAUUACACAGAGAAACUCUGUCUUGAAAAACAUAAACAAAAGAAACAGCAACAGAACUGUGUGGGGAGACCCACCUACACUGGGACCAGCUGCUGCCAAGUGCUUUAAACAUUAGGUGUAGCCCUACUGACAGACAGGGUUCUCCCCAAGUCCUUUUUGGAGUCCUGCCAGCCUUCAUCAGAGUAUACAAGAAUGGGCAACAUUAGCCUGAGACAGCAAAUGCAGGUUCUUGGAUUGUCCCCAACUAUUGUACAACAUCCUAUUAUGAAGUGGUUACCUUCCAGCUCAACCACAGAUUGACACCUCUUAAAAAAAAAAAAAAAAAAAAAAAAGAUGCUAUAUGUUAAAAUAAUGGAAUGACCGACCCCUAAAGUCCCUUUGGAGGGGUCCAUUCACUGUCACCUUAUCCAUUCCUAUGGCAGUAAAGGUGCUCCUCUAAAUUCACCACCGUAGAGUGAAACCGGCUUCCGGAGAUGGGCAUACACUUGGUUCCUCAACACCAUACAAGCUGAUCGUCCGGAGGAAAAGAGCUGUGAAGCCAUAUACCGCAGAAGGCUGCAGCCCACUUUAGUCACUUCAGAAGCUGACUAAUCUAUGUAUGGCAGAAGCUUAAGGGUUGGCCAUCUGAUGGCAUAAAUAAACUGUUCAUGUUUCCUAUUUCAGUUCUUACUGUCAUUGGCGUCCCUUGUCCCUGAUCUAUUGCUGGGAUCCUUGCCCUAAUCUUUGCCAAAAUAAAUAAUAAAUAAAUAGGCAGAGACUGCUUUAGUCAGCUAGAAAAUGGCAGAUGGCCUCGAUUAGUGUUCUUUUUCCUCUUGUGGACAGGAUAAUUCAUUGCUACUGGUUGCUACCCAGCUAGGCCUUAUUUCCAGAUAAGGCUUAAGCCCAUCUCAUGCAAUCUGUACCAUUCCGCAUGACCAGGACAUCAUGAAAACCUUAUUUUAUCACACCCAUUUAACUUGCCAAAAAGAGAUCUUAGGGGCCUGUUGGUAUAAAGUUCUUGUGGAAUGUAUACAAUUUACCCUUGUUGGUUCAAAUGCUGAUUUCUGUACCCCACUAUCUGGUUUCAAUCCAGACAUUGCAUUGUGAUGUUUAUUCUAAGUAUCACCUGUCUCAAGUUUGUGUGAACGUGCUACCAUUUGUUCUCUAUAAUCAAUAAAACAACCAGCCAAUGCUGAGCAAUGGAGAAAAUAGGGUGGGACAUCUUGGUCCGGAGGGGAGGAGAAGGAAGCAAGUGGGAGGAGUUGGAGAGGAGAGAGCGGCAAGAGAGGACUUUGAACCAUGCGGAGAGAUGAGCCAGACAUAAGAUAUGACUAAAAGCAAAUAUAAUGUGGGAAAUCUGAAUGGUAGGAAACUAUGCGGGCUUGAAGGUUUAGGAUGGAGUAACUAUUGCCCAGCAUUGUGCUCUAGGUUAAUUAAAUAAA